GGGCCUGUAGCUCAGCUGGUUAGAGCGCCAAACUGAUAAUUUGGAGGUCUCAGGUUCGAGUCCUGACAGGCCCA
rnacentral:tRNA from 1 species